ACUACGGGAGGCUGCAGUGAGGAAUAUUGGUCAAUGGGCGGAAGCCUGAACCAGCCAAGUAGCGUGCAGGAUGACGGCCCUACGGGUUGUAAACUGCUUUUAUACGGGAAUAACGCGCCUUACGUGUAGGGCUUUGCAUGUACCGUAUGAAUAAGGACCGGCUAAUUCCGUGCCAGCAGCCGCGGUAAUACGGAAGGUCCGGGCGUUAUCCGGAUUUAUUGGGUUUAAAGGGAGCGUAGGCCGCAUGUCAAGCGUGCUGUGAAAUGUCCGGGCUCAACCCGGGCCUUGCAGCGCAAACUGGCGUGCUUGAGUCCGCGGAAAGCAGGCGGAAUUCGUGGUGUAGCGGUGAAAUGCUUAGAUAUGACGAAGAACCCCGAUUGCGAAGGCAGCUUGCUGCAGCGGAACUGACGCUGAUGCUCGAAAGCGCGGGUAUCGAACAGGAUUAGAUACCCUUGUAGUC
rnacentral:rRNA from 1 species